UGUCCCUAAAAAUAUUGCGUAGGAAAUCGAGCACAAUCCCCACGUGUGUGUGUGACUAUUUUCUCUCAAUCACAGCGUGUGUCCAACAACGGAUUUCUAAAUUUAGAACAAAAUAGCCUACAGGCUUUUUUAAUAUGUGGUUGUUUUCUAAUUCAGCGCGCCCGACGUUCCCAGCACCGCAAACCUCCAUGUCUUUAAAAAUAGCCAAAUGUUCUCUUUGAUUGCACGGCUGACUUGGCCGGUUAAAGACCCUGGAAAUACAUUCGACGUCAUGCAGACUCUGUCUGACUGUCUGAGGGAUAAUAUUCCAUGUCGACAUAUUCAAGGCUGCCACGGCUCAGGCCUGUCUUUUUAUUACUGACACGUAAUACCACGUCACACUAUGCACCGUUGGCUUGCACAGACACGUAAGUCGACCGCCACGUUUAUAUAUAUAGGGCCCCCCUAUCGGAUAUCAUCAUGGCCCGGCACCCAGAGCGGCGUGCCUGAUUCCAUGCUUUGCCCUCCUUUUCUUCUAUGGCCAUUCCAAAUAGAAUGUUUCGUCCUUGGCGUCUGUUUCAUGAGUCAUGAAACAAUUCUUUUAUCGGUCCAUCCACCAGCGUAACACGAGUAUAAAGUCGUUUGUUCUUUCUUGUCUUGUUAGUGCUUUAGUUAUGAUUCUUUUGCUAACUAGCCACUAGACAGUGCGUAACCGAAUAAUAAACCAAGACAAAUAAAAAUGGAAUAGUUUUUGACAAAUGGUGGUUAUUUGUGACCAUGAUGUUGUCACCCCGUUUAUGUUUAGCGACGAAAAAAUCAGCCGCCAUUGCAUUUCUUUCCUUUCUUUUUUUUUUUUUCAAUUUGCAACAUGAAAUGAAAAAUAUGGGAAUAAAGGCAGGAUGAUGGAAGAAAAAAAUGAAGAAUCUUUUGAAAGUUGGAUGGUCAAAAAAAAAAAAAGGUAUAAAACAAAAAAAAAACUCAAGAGUUGAUAGCAACAGAAAAAUGGAGGAUUUCCAGGGGAUCAAAUCUUCAACAUUUAGAAACGGAAACAUAAUCAGAGCAGUAUAUAGGCGCAUGAAUAAUUAAAUAGAGAAAUAGCCGUGAUUUUGUUUGCCUUUGAGUGGAGAAAAAUGAUUGAUAAAGAAGACGAAAAAGGAACGAGGGGUUUGGUUUAUUACAUUACGGCAAUUAGUCAACACUGUAAAAUCAGAGAUGUCCAUUCUUUUCUGCCUGCGUGUGAAAAUCUCGGUCCGUUACCGACCUGGCCCAAUAAACAGUUCAUCACCAUAAUAAUAAUUAUUGUUAUUAUUUACAAGCACAAAUAAAAAACACAUGCUAAUUGUUUUGACAUCAUGUUUUUUGCACGUCUAUUAUUUCCAUUCAUAACGCGGCGCAUUUUUGUCGAAGUUCCUUUUACUUAGUUUCUCAUUUUUUUUUAAGUUUGUGGGAGGAAGUUUAGGGUAAGCUGCGUGUGUGUCUGUGGUAUGAUGUAAAAAUUGAAAUAAAAAAAAUGAAAAUUCCAUAAGAGUGGCGUGCAAUUACUUUGGGUUGUGGUGGAAUGAGUCGAAGACACGUCUUUCCUCGACUAUGUUCAUGUCUUCUUCUGAUAUCUGUGAUCGGAAAAUAAAGCAAAAGUUGACAAAUGUUUUGCUUUCGCAGUUGUUUUUUUUUUUCCGGAGUUCUCGUUUGUCUUAUUUAUUAUGUUCUUUCUUCUCUCUAUCCCAAGCGAGUUCUUUUGAAAUAGUAUCCAAAAUGUUUUUAAAAGAAUCAAAUUUUUUCACUUUGUCGUUUGUUUAUACGUAUAUCGGUAUACGAUAAGUGUUUGAAAAAAGAUGUCCUUUUCUUGUUUUGUUUUUCUCGAGAGUAAGAGAGAAGUAUUUCUUUGUCAAUCAAACGGUCAUUUUAAAGAGGGG